UGGGGAAUCUUGCACAAUGGGGGAAACCCUGAUUCAGCGACGCCGCUUGAGCGAUGAAGGUUUUCGAAUCGUAAAGCUCUUUCCUAUGGGAAGAUAAUGACGGUACCAUGGGAGGAAGCCCCGGCUAACUACGUGCCAGCAGCCGCGGUAAUACGUAGGGGGCGAGCGUUUUCCGGAAUUACUUGGCGUAAAGGGUUCGCAGGCGGCAUGGCAAGUCCGAUGUAAAAGGCGAAGGCUCAACCUUCGUAAGCAUCGGAAACUGUCAAGCUUGAGUGAAGGAGAGGGAAGUGGAAUUCCUAGUGUAGCGGUGGAAUGCGUAGAUAUUAGGAGGAAAAACGGUGGGGAAGGCGACUUGAUGGAAGACAACUGACGCUGAGGAACGAAAGCGGGGGUAGCAAAAAGG
rnacentral:rRNA from 1 species